rnacentral:rRNA from 1 species
UACGGAAGGCAGCAGUGGGGAAUAUUGCACAAUGGGCGAAAGCCUGAUGCAGCUAUGCCGCGUGUAUGAAGAAGGCCUUAGGGUUGUAAAGUACUUUCAUCGGGGAGGAAAAAACAAAACUAAUAAUUUUAUUUCUUGACGUUACCCGAAAAAGAAGCACCGGCUAACUCCGUGCCAGCAGCCGCGGUAAUACGGAGGGUGCUAGCGUUAAUCAGAAUUACUGGGCGUAAAGAGCACGUAGGUGGUUUUUUUAAGUCAGAUGUGAAAUCCCUGGGCUUAACCUAGGAACUGCAUUUGAAACUGAAAUACUAGAGUAUCGUAGAGGGAGGUAGAAUUCUAGGUGUAGCGGUGAAAUGCGUAGAUAUCUGGAGGAAUACCUGUGGCGAAAGCGGCCUCCUAAACGAAUACUGACACUGAGGUGCGAAAGCGUGGGGAGCAAACAGGGAUUAGAACC